GAUUGCCUGCCUUGUUCGUGAUAGGAGAGAAAAACUUGUUCCGACAAUUAGAUGAUUUCGGGAGCCGGAGAAGCGCAAGUGUUGUGCGCCCCGCAGGGGAAAUGCCUGAUCUUGCUUUCAAGGCGCCCACCUGUGUAAACAGGGAUCCAAGUUUUUUUCUUACCACGGCAAGGUGGGUCCCUU
rnacentral:other from 1 species